GACGAACGCUGGCGGCGUGCUUAACACAUGCAAGUCGAGCGGAAAGGCCACUUCGGUGGUACUCGAGCGGCGAACGGGUGAGUAACACGUGAGUAAUCUGCCCUUGGCUUUGGGAUAGCCACCGGAAACGGUGAUUAAUACCGGAUAUGACCACUCUAGGCAUCUAGUGGUGGUGGAAAGUUUUUCGGCCAGGGAUGUGCUCGCGGCCUAUCAGCUUGAUGGUGAGGUAAUGGCUCACCAUGGCUUCGACGGGUAGCCGGCCUGAGAGGGUGACCGGUCACACUGGGACUGAGACACGGCCCAGACUCCUACGGGAGGCAGCAGUGGGGAAUAUUGGACAAUGGGCGGAAGCCUGAUCCAGCAACGCCGCGUGAGGGAUGACGGCCUUCGGGUUGUAAACCUCUUUCGGUAGGGACGAAGCGCGAGUGACGGUACCUACUAAAGAAGCACCGGCCAACUACGUGCCAGCCGCCGCCGUAAAAC
rnacentral:rRNA from 1 species